UACAGAGGUCUCAAGCGUUGUUCGGAUUCAUUGGGCGUAAAGCGUGCGCAGGCGGUUCUGCAAGUCAGAUGUGAAAUCCCCGGGCUUAACCUGGGAACUGCGUUUGAAACUACGGAGCUAGAGUGCGGCAGAGGGGGGUGGAAUUCCACGUGUAGCAGUGAAAUGCGUAGAUAUGUGGAGGAACACCGAUGGCGAAGGCAGCCCCCUGGGCCGACACUGACGCUCAGGCACGAAAGCGUGGGGAGCAAACAGG
rnacentral:rRNA from 1 species